UACGAAGGGGGCUAGCGUUGUUCGGAUUUACUGGGCGUAAAGCGCACGUAGGCGGGUCGUUAAGUCAGGGGUGAAAUCCCGGAGCUCAACUCCGGAACUGCCCUUGAUACUGGCGACCUUGAGGCUGGAAGAGGUUAGUGGAAUUCCCAGUGUAGAGGUGAAAUUCGUAGAUAUUGGGAAGAACACCAGUGGCGAAGGCGGCUAACUGGUCCAGAUCUGACGCUGAGGCACGAAAGCGUGGGGAGCAAACAGG
rnacentral:rRNA from 1 species